ACACCUCGAUCUAGAGUGUUGUCGUGCCAAUCACAAUAGAAAACAAUACAGCGCAAUCCAACCAUGCUUAAAUACUUGAUUUCCAAAAUCUCAUGUAUGUGUCCGUAGUAUACAUCAUCUCCUGAUGCAGAACAAACGCCAGCAUCAUAAGUCAUACUCGAACGUCUCCUCUUCUGAGUUGUGAAUGCAUAUCCUCGAGUACAAAAUCUCGGAUAUGACUUCACAACAAAUUUUGCUCCAACGACCAUCUCGCGUGUCCAAUCGUCAAAUGUUUCACCUCUGGCCAAACCA
rnacentral:lncRNA from 1 species